rnacentral:SRP_RNA from 1 species
UAUGAAGGGUGCGGGGUUGUUUUGCUGUAAACCCGGUCAGGUUCGGAAGAAAGCAGCCGUAGCAGUUAAAACGAGGUCUGCAUCCCUUCGCCUCA